rnacentral:rRNA from 1 species
GACAACCUACCCUUAGGACGGGGAUAAACCCGGGAAACUGGGUAUAAUACCCGAUAGUCCUCGAAUGCUGGAAUGCGUCGAGGACGAAAGCUCCGGUGCCUAAGGAUGGGUCUGCGGCCUAUCAGGUAGUAGUGGGUGUAGCGUACCUACUAGCCUACGACGGGUACGGGUUGUGAGAGCAAGAGCCCGGAGAUGGAUUCUGAGACACGAAUCCAGGCCCUACGGGGUGCAGCAGGCGCGAAAACUUUACAAUGCUGGCAACAGCGAUAAGGGAACCUCGAGUGCCAGGUUACAAAUCUGGCUGUCGAGAUGCCUAAAAAGCAUUUCAUAGCAAGGGCCGGGCAAGACCGGUGCCAGCCGCCGCGGUAACACCGGCGGCUCGAGUGGUAACCGUUAUUAUUGGGUCUAAAGGGUCUGUAGCCGGCCGGAUAAGUCUCUUGGGAAAUCUGGCAGCUCAACUGUCAGGCUUUCAGGAGAUACUGUCUGGCUCGAGGCCGGGAGAGGUGAGAGGUACUUCAGGGGUAGGGGUGAAAUCUUGUAAUCCUUGAAGGACCACCAGUGGCGAAGGCGUCUCACCAGAACGGACCUGACGGCAAGGGACGAAAGCUAGGGGCACGAACCGGAUUAGAUACCCGGGUAGUCCUAGCCGUAAACGAUACUCGCUAGGUGUCGGCCACGGUGCGACCGUGGUCGGUGCCGUAGGGAAGCCGUGAAGCGAGCCACCUGGGAAGUACGGCCGCAAGGCUGAAACUUAAAGGAAUUGGCGGGGGAGCACCACAACGGGUGGAGCUUGCGGUUUAAUUGGAUUCAACGCCGGAAAUCUUACCGGGACCGACAGCAAUAUGAAGGCCAGGCUGAAGACUUUGCCGGAUUAGCUGAGAGGUGGUGCAUGGCCGUCGUCAGUUCGUACUGUGAAGCAUCCUGUUAAGUCAGGCAACGAGCGAGACCCACGCCCACAGUUGCCAGCGUACUCUCCGGAGUGAUGGGUACACUGUGGGGACCGCCGCUGCUAAAGCGGAGGAAGGAAUGGGCAACGGUAGGUCAGUAUGCCCCGAAUAUCCCGGGCUACACGCGAGCUACAAUGGUUGGUACAAUGGGUAUCUACCCCGAGAGGGGAUGGCAAUCUCCUAAAACCAAUCUUAGUUCGGAUUGAGGGCUGCAACUCGCCCUCAUGAAGCUGGAAUCCGUAGUAAU